rnacentral:lncRNA from 1 species
CUCCCCGCCGCCCCCGGUAUACAAAUAUAAGUCACCUCCUCCCCCCGUCUACCACUACAGCUCGCCACCACCGCCGGUUUACAAGUACAAGUCGCCACCACCACCUGUGUACCAUGCCCCGGCUCCUGUUUACAAGUACGAGUCGCCCCCCCCACCGGUUUACAAGUACAGCUCCCCUCCACCGCCGGUCUACAAAUAUAAGUCGCCACCACCUCCUGUGUACCACGCCCCGGCUCCUGUUUACAAGUACAAGUCACCUCCUCCCCCCGUCUACCACUACAGCUCGCCACCACCGCCGGUUUACAAGUACAAGUCACCACCACCACCUGUGUACCACGCCCCGGCACCAGUUUACAAGUACAACUCGCCACCACCCCCAGUUUACAAGUACAGCUCGCCACCACCACCUGUUUACAAAUACAAGUCGCCACCACCACCUGUGUACCACACCCCGG